rnacentral:rRNA from 1 species
AUUGAACGCUGGCGGCAGGCCUAACACAUGCAAGUCGAGCGAGCGGCGGACGGGUGAGUAAUGUAUGGGGACUGCCCGAUAGAGGGGGAUAACUACUGGAAACGGUAGCUCAUACCGCAUACUAUCGGAUAACCCAUAUGGGAUUUGCUAGUAGGUGAGGUAAUGGCUCACCUCGGCGACGAUCCCUAGCUGGUCUGAGAGGAUGAUCCGCCAAACUGGGGCGUGGACACUGCCCAUAGCACUACGGAGGCAGCAGUGGGGAAUAUUGGACAAGGGGGGCAAACCUGAUGCAGCCAGGCCGCGUGUAUGAAGAAGGCGCUAGGGUUGUAAAGUACGUUCAGUCGGGGGGCGUUACCGGCAGAAGAAGCACCGGCUAACUCCGUGCCAGCAGCCGCGGUAAUUC